AUUCAAAACAAGAAAACAUACAUAAUAGUUAAGCGAACCGCCUAAAUGUAACAUUAAUGUAGCCUAUAUAAUGUGUAAUGUUUAGUAUACUCUAAUUCCUUAUAAUGAUGGCACAUGACGAGACACACAAUCAGCAUGUAAUUCUGUUUGAGUACAA